AAGAACCUUACCUGGCCUUGACAUCUACGGAAUUCUGCAGAGAUGAGGGAGUGCCUUCGGGAACCUGAAGACAGGUGCUGCAUGGCUGUCGUCAGCUCGUGUCGUGAGAUGUUGGGUUAAGUCCCGCAACGAGCGCAACCCUUGUCCUUAGUUGCCAUCAUUAAGUUGGGAACUCUAAGGAGACCGCCGGUGACAAACCGGAGGAAGGUGGGGAUGACGUCAAGUCAUCAUGGUCUUUAUGNCCAGGGCUACACACGUGCUACAAUGGCAGGUACAGAGGGAAGCCAACUCGCGAGAGGGAGCCAAUCCCAUAAAGCCUGUCGUAGUCCGGAUCGGAGUCUGCAACUCGACUCUGUGAAGUCGGAAUCGCUAGUAAUCGCAGAUCAGCAUUGCUGCGGUGAAUACGUUCCCGGGUCUUGUACACACCGCCCGUCACACCAUGGGAGUUGACUGCACCAGAAGCAGGUAGCCUAACCGCAAGGAUGGCGCCUACCACGGUGUGGUCAAUGACUGGGGUGAAGUCGUAACAAGGUAGCCGUA
rnacentral:rRNA from 1 species